CGUUGCUGUCUCGUGUUUUCUUUUGAUCCAUUCAAUUUUUUUAAUCUAGGAAAAUACGGUGGAGAGGGUUUUUCUUUUUAUUGUUUGAGAUUGAUAUCUCUCGUCUUCUCUACCGGAUUUCCUUGAUUAAAGAAAUUUACUGGUUCAUUAUUAUUUUUUAGCUAUGAUGACAAUGUGUAUCCCAGCUCAUUAUGAGGCCUUUUUGUAAGGUCUGGGAAUUUAACCUUCCACACAUUUAUCUGAGCUUUUC
rnacentral:lncRNA from 1 species